GACGAACGCUGGCGGCGUGCCUAAUACAUGCAAGUCGAGCGAGCUUGCCUAGAUGAAUUUGGUGCUUGCACCAAAUGAAACUAGAUACAAGCGAGCGGCGGACGGGUGAGUAACACGUGGGUAACCUGCCCAAGAGACUGGGAUAACACCUGGAAACAGAUGCUAAUACCGGAUAACAACACUAGACGCAUGUCUAGAGUUUAAAAGAUGGUUCUGCUAUCACUCUUGGAUGGACCUGCGGUGCAUUAGCUAGUUGGUAAGGUAACGGCUUACCAAGGCAAUGAUGCAUAGCCGAGUUGAGAGACUGAUCGGCCACAUUGGGACUGAGACACGGCCCAAACUCCUACGGGAGGCAGCAGUAGGGAAUCUUCCACAAUGGACGCAAGUCUGAUGGAGCAACGCCGCGUGAGUGAAGAAGGGUUUCGGCUCGUAAAGCUCUGUUGGUAGUGAAGAAAGAUAGAGGUAGUAACUGGCCUUUAUUUGACGGUAAUUACUUAGAAAGUCACGGCUAACUACGUGCCAGCAGCCGCGGUAAUA
rnacentral:rRNA from 1 species